GAUUAAGCCAUGCAUGUCUAAGUAUAAACGAUUUAAUCGUGAAACCGCGAAUGGCUCAUUAUAACAGCUAUAAUUUACUUGAUCUUGACACAAUCCUACUUGGAUAACUGUGGUAAUUCUAGAGCUAAUACAUGCAUUAAAGCUCUGACCUCACGGGAAGAGUGCAUUUAUUAGAACAAAACCAAGCGGCUUCGGCUGUUUCUGGUUGACUCAUAGUAACUGAGCUGAUCGCAUGGUCUUGCACCGGCGACGUGUCUUUCAAGUAUCUGCCGUAUCAACUUUCGAUGGUAGUGUAUCUGACUACCAUGGUGAUCACGCGUAACGGAGAAUAAGGGUUCGGCUCCGGAGAGUUCGCCUGAGAAAUCGCGAACACAUCUAAGGAAGGCAGCAGGCGCGAAAAUUACCCACUCUCAGCACGAGGAGGUAGUGACGAAAAAUAACGAGACCGUUCUCUUAUGAGGCCGGUCAUCGGAAUGGGUACAAUUUAAACCCUUUAACGAGUAUC
rnacentral:rRNA from 1 species